AUGAUCGACGACGCCUCCACCUCGACCCUAACCACCACGGUGACCACCGGCAGCCAUGUCCUCAGAAUUAACGGCUAUACGGAGACAAAGCUCCUCGGCAACGGCGUGGCGGCCCCGUCCGGCGAGUUCGAGGCAGCCGGCCACCGCUGGCGGAUCCACUACUACCCCAACGGAGGAUCGUGGAACAACGCCGACGGCAUCUCUCUCGCCCUCAGCAUCGCCGACAAGUACGUCCUCAGCCAUGUCAACGCAAACGUCCGGUUCUCUCUCGUCCCUCACGACGGCAAGAAGCCGGCGCCGGCCAAGCUCAAGCACUACCGUUCCAGUUUCGGGGGCGUCUUCAAGUUCAACGGCCAUGUCAUCGGCGAACGGUCUAGGUUCAUGGGAAGAGACCAGCUAGAGAAGUCGGGUUACGUCGUGGACGACUGCUUCAUCGUCAGGUGCGACAUCGAUGUCGUCGUCACGUCGGCGGCUAGAGUGUUUGGCAGCACGGCCACGGAUGCUUGUGAUGAUCUCGAGGAGGCGGAGCUCCCCUGCAGCAGCAUGGUUCAGGAGGACAUGUGCAAGCACGAGGACAACGUCGUUGGCGGCCACGCAACGGAUACGGAAGACCCUUCCGAUAUCGGGUUGGCGAAGCUGCACCGCUCGGGACCAAGGCAACCCAAGAUGAUGAUGCAUCCGAUGUCCGCCGCUCUUUUCUCUUCUGUCUUCUCAUGUUUUGCAGAUUUUUUCUAG
rnacentral:rRNA from 1 species